AGAGUUUGAUCCUGGCUCAGGAUGAACGCUAGCUACAGGCUUAACACAUGCAAGUCGAGGGGCAGCAUCAUCAAAGCUUGCUUUGAUGGAUGGCGACCGGCGCACGGGUGAGUAACACGUAUCCAACCUGCCGACAACACUGGGAUAGCCUUUCGAAAGAAAGAUUAAUACCGGAUGGUAUAGUUUUCCGCAUGGGAUGAUUAUUAAAGAAUUUCGGUUGUCGAUGGGGAUGCGUUCCAUUAGGCAGUUGGCGGGGUAACGGCCCACCAAACCUACGAUGGAUAGGGGGUUCUGGAGAGGAAGGUCCCCCACAUUGGAACUGAGACACGGUCCAAACUCCUACGGGAGGCA
rnacentral:rRNA from 1 species